AAACAAGAAGCAUCUUCCUGCGCCAUGAUUUCGGCUCACGGAGAGACUUCCCGUCCUUGUUUU
rnacentral:tRNA from 1 species